rnacentral:rRNA from 1 species
UACGAAGGGUGCUAGCGUUACUCGGAAUCACUGGGCGUCAAGCGCGCGUAGGCGGUUUGUCAAGUCAGGUGUGAAAGCCCAGGGCUCAACCCUGGAUGUGCAUUUGAAACUGGCAAACUGGAGUCCGGAAGAGGAUGGUGGAAUUCCUAGUGUAGAGGUGAAAUUCGUAGAUAUUAGGAGGAACACCAGUGGCGAAGGCGGCCAUCUGGUCCGGUACUGACGCUGAGGCGCGAAAGCGUGGGGAUCAAACAGG